UACAGAGGUCUCAAGCGUUGUUCGGAUUCAUUGGGCGUAAAGGGUGCGUAGGCGGCACGGUAAGUCGGGUGUGAAAUCUCGGAGCUUAACUCCGAAACUGCAUUCGAUACUGCCGUGCUUGAGGACUGGAGAGGAGACUGGAAUUUACGGUGUAGCGGUGAAAUGCGUAGAUAUCGUAAGGAAGACCAGUGGCGAAGGCGGGUCUCUGGACAGUUCCUGACGCUGAGGCACGAAGGCCAGGGGAGCAAACGGG
rnacentral:rRNA from 1 species